rnacentral:lncRNA from 1 species
AUUCAUUUAUCAUGCCCCAUUUUUUGUGUGCAGAGGUUGUAAAUGAGGCUUAGGUGUUUUUUGCUACUAGGAUUACUCCUUGGAUCCUGUGAAGGGGCAGGUUGUCUCACCUCUACCGAGUGCCAUUCUCUCAUCUGGCAGAAUAGCAGAUGGUUUUUAUCUAGUGUGUAUGCCAAUGGGAACAUAAAGACAGGUUUGAGCUGUAAGCAGGAAGGAAUUUAUUUGUGUUUGCAGUAGCCAGGAGUGAGGUAGUCUUAUACAACCAGAUUCCAAAUUCUCCCUGCUAAAGGAGAGUUACAAGUUUUGUGGAAUUCACUUUCAGAGAGGUCAUACACAUUCAGGAACUUUCUGAGAAGUUCCAGGAAGCAUUAUGCAUAUUUAAAAGGAAGCAGGUGCACAAACCCACUGUCUAUCAUGAAUGUUACAUGCAUUCCAUGCCCGGUUAAGGGCGGAGAUUUCGCAUUACAAGGAAGGGGAUUUGCGUUUCAUAUGCUGGAAAGGUGGAGAGGAGAGUGCCACUCCAGCUUGUUAGCAGGCUCUACAAACUGGCUUCAGCCAAGUCGGGCUCCAGGUUUCCUGCCAAGGAGAGUUCACCACCACAGUGCACCUGCAUUGGAUGGGUGCUGAUUCACAUCUGCUUGCAAGGACACCUGGCUCUGGUUUGCGAUCGGGUUUCCAUUUCAUGGUGUAUCUACGUGGCUACUUCCCGAAGUUCACUGGCAAAUGCAAGUACAAGUUAAGUUCAUUUUAUUAUGAGAACCCUGCAUGGUUUUCUCACGCUGCACAUUCCCCUGAACUUCCUGAAGAGCCUUGCACAUUUGUGUCCUUGGAUCUACUUCCAACACUUGGGGUUUCUUGAAAGAAAAAUCGAUAGUGAUGAGUGGGGCAUGGUAGGCUGAGCUGUCACCUGCAUUGCCAGAACCCCAUAUGGGCAAUGAUUCAAGUCCCCGCUGCUCCAUUUUCUGAUCCUGCUCCCUGCUAAUGCGCCUGGGGAGUGCUUGGGCCCCUGGCACCUGCGCAGGAGACUUGGAUGGAGUUCCUGGUUCCUGGCUUCAGCCUGGCCCAGCCCUGGCCAUUGAGGUCACUUGGGGAGUGAACUAGCAGUUGAAGAUCUCUCUCUCUCUCUCUGCCUCUCCUCCCUCUCUCCCUCACUCCCUCCCCCCCCCGUAACUAUCUUUCAAAUAAAUAAAUACAUUUUUAAAAAGAAAUACCA